rnacentral:miRNA from 1 species
ACUGGGAUGUCACUGAAUAUGGU